rnacentral:rRNA from 1 species
UGCGUAGGCGGCCUAAUAAGUCAGAGGUGAAAAGUCACAGCUUAACUGUGAAGGUGCCUUUGAUACUGUUUGGCUUGAAUAAGGUUGAGGUUGGCGGAAUGUGACAUGUAGCGGUGAAAUGCAUAGAUAUGUCAUAGAACACCAAUUGCGAAGGCAGCCAACUAGGCCUUCAUUGACGCUGAGGCACGAAAGCGUGGGUAGCGAACAGGAUUAGAUACCCUGGUAGUC